AGGGCCGAGAGGUAUGUGAGGUGGGGCCUUGUCUAGCACGUAAACAAUCUUCUCCAAUGUUAGGAGAAUCUUGACAUUAUGAUACCAUGAUGGGAAAUUGUGCCCCUCUAGGCAAUGUUUGUCGAGUAUUUUCGUGAGUGUGCUUCCAACCAUAUCUAAAUACAUAAACAAAAAUAUAAUUAGUUUGAUUGUUGAUUAAGUCAAACAAUUCGGGUCUUUAACCGAAUGACACCACCCACCAUUUUUGGCAAAUUCCAUAUCCCUCAAGAUGGAAUCCGGGAGAUUUCAAUGAAAGCUCCUAGCGGGUUAUGGGAGGCUCACUAUUACCAAGCCCACCUCACGAUGAUACGAUGUCUGUUGGAAAUGUGCCCUAAAACCAAUCAUCUGAUGAUACUUUACGGACAUUUCACAAAGUUAAACUAAUGUAGUUUAAAUAUAAAGGGCAAAGAUUAUUGUUUGAGCCGUCUCAUAUAAAUGUUAUAUGCUUAAACGAUAAGUCCAAGGAAUAUGUGAUUGGGAGAAUGCAAUCUAAAGAAGUUAAAUUCAUGAGACCAUUCUUUCGUAGACACAUCCUAAACGUUCCUGAUCAUAGGAUUGCCAAUUGGGCAUUGACAGUCCGUUAAGAUCAGUACGUGUUAUGUCUUCUCUUAGGGAGAGUGACUAGUCUCGAGUCAUUG
rnacentral:lncRNA from 1 species